UAAAUGUGUUCAUGGACUCAGGGUUUGCUGCAUUCCUUUGAGCCUGCAGACAAGGUGCUACUCAAGAUUUGGGUGACAGCAUCUCCAGAAAGUCAACUAGGAAGAAAGUAGACUGGACCUUGGGACAUACUCCUUACCACCCCCACCAUGGUGAAGCUGGUGGAAAUAAAACCUUGGACUCACCAGACCAGAA